CCCCUGACCGCGUAUGAAGACGUUUUCACCUCGGGUGACAGGGAGACAGGUGGUGCAUGGUUGUCGUCAGGCUCGUGUCGUGAGAUGUUGGGUUAAGUCCCGCAACGAGCGCAACCCCUACGUUUAGUUGCUAACGCGUGAAGGCGAGCACUCUAGACGAACUGCCGUUGACAAAACGGAGGAAGGUGGGGAUGACGUCAAAUCAUCAUGCCCCUUAUGCUCUGGGCUACACACGUGCUACAAUGGCCGGUACAGACGGACGCAAAGCCGCGAGGUGGAGCAAAUCCUAAAAAGCCGGUCCCAGUUCGGAUUGCAGGCUGCAAUUCGCCUGCAUGAAGUCGGAAUCGCUAGUAAUCGCAGGUCAGCAUACUGCGGUGAAUACGUUCCCGGGCCUU
rnacentral:rRNA from 1 species